rnacentral:tRNA from 1 species
GGUUCCUUAGCUCAGCUGGUUAGAGCAUCUGACUCUUAAUCAGAGGGUCCUGGGUUCGAGUCCCAGAGGAACCACCA